rnacentral:rRNA from 1 species
AUUGAACGCUAGCGGGAUGCCUAACACAUGCAAGUCGAACGGAGUGGCGAACGGGUGAGUGAUGUAUAGUCACGUGCCCAGUAGCGGGGGAUAACUACGCGAAAGCGUAGCUAAUACCGCCUGCUAUUGGAGCGGCCGAUAGGGGAGUAGCUAGCUGGUGGGGUAAGGGAUCACCAAGGCGACGAUCCAUAGCUGGUUUGAGAGGACGACCAGCCACACUGGGACUGAGACACGGCCCAGACUCCUACGGGAGGCAGCAGUGGGGAAUUUUGGACAAUGGGGGAAAUCCUGAUCCAGCCAGCCCGCGUGUGCGAGGAAGGCCUUCGGGUUGUAAAGCACUUUUGGCAGGGAAGCGGUACCUGCAGAAGAAGCACCGGCUAACUACGUGCCAGCAGCCGCGGUAAUAC